rnacentral:rRNA from 1 species
UACGGAGGAUCCAAGCGUUAUCCGGAUUUAUUGGGUUUAAAGGGUGCGUAGGCGGCUCAUUAAGUCAGGGGUGAAAGACGGUAGCUUAACUAUCGCAGUGCCUUUGAUACUGAUGAGCUUGAAUGUAGUUGAGGUAGGCGGAAUGUGACAAGUAGCGGUGAAAUGCAUAGAUAUGACACAGAACACCGAUUGCGAAGGCAGCUGACGAAACUGUAACUGACGCUGAGGCACGAAAGCGUGGGGAUCAAACAGG